rnacentral:rRNA from 1 species
GACGAACGCUGGCGGCGUGCCUAAUACAUGCAAGUUGAGCGCUUAAGGUUGGUACUUGUACCAACUGGGUGAGCAGCGGACGGGUGAGUCCCGCGUGUGUAAUCUGCCUUUGAGCGUGGGACCACGUUUGGAAACGAAUUCUCAUACCGCAUAAGAACUUUAAACACAAGUUUUAUGUUUCAAAGCUGCAAUUGCUUCACUCAAAGAUGAUCCCGCGUUGUAUUAGCUAGUUGGGGAGGUAGACGCUCACCCAGGCGAUGGUACAUAGCCGGCCUGGGCAGGAGGUAGGGCAAAUUUGGAAUGAGACAAGGCCCAAACUCCCAAGGGAGGGAGCAGUAGGGAAUCUUCGGAAAUGGACGAAAGGCUGAACGAGCAACGCCGGGGGAGUGAAGAAGGGUUUCGGAUCGGAAAACUCUGUUGGUAGAGAAGAACGUGGGUGAGGGUGGAAAGCUCAUCAAGUGACGGUAACAACACAGAAAGGGACGGCUAACUACGUG